rnacentral:sRNA from 1 species
UCAACGGUUAUAGAAAAUCGAAAACUGUAACUGGGAUUAAAAUGGGAACAUUUGUAAAAAAGAAUAAACUAAAUAAUUCUUCCAAGUACUUUACUUGAGGGCAAAAAAUUAGACCGUAGUUUAAAGUUG